UGCCAGUAGUCAUAUGCUUGUCUCAAAGAUUAAGCCAUGCAAGUCUAAGUAUAAGCACUUAUACUGUUAAACUGCGGAAAGCUCAUUAUAUCAGUUAUAGUUUAUUUGAUGGUAAACCCACUACAUGGAUAACCGUAGUAAUUCUAGAGCUAAUACAUGCCUUGAAGCGGUAACUUCGGAAGCCGUGGACUUAUUAGAUCAAGAGCUGACCCUUUUCGGAGGAACAAGCUGAAUCAUAGUAAUUUCGCUAAUCGCAGUGGUUUUGUGCCGGCGAUGGGUCAUUCAAAUUUCUGCCCUAUCAGCUGUGAUGUUAGUGUAGUGGACUAACAUGGCAUAAACGGGUGACGGAGGAUUAGGGUCUGAUUCCGGAGAGGGAGCCUGAGAAAUGGCUACCACUUCCAAGGAAGGCAGCAGGCGCGUAAAUUACCCAAUCCCGAUACGGGGAGGUAGUGACAAGAAAUAGCAAUACCGGAUCUUUUAAGAUCUGGUAAUUGGAAUGAGUACAAUCUAAAAUCCUUAACUAGGACCCAUUGGAGGGCAAGUCUGGU
rnacentral:rRNA from 1 species